CGGCGAUGGGAAUGCCAGUACCGCUGCUGCCGCUGUUCUCCCUACUGCUACUACCCCCACUGCUUCCACUGAGGGAGGAGACAGAUAGAAGAGAGAGAGGACAUUGUUUUAUUCAGGGCAACCUGCUCAGACUGCACAGCAGGACGGAGCUGCAGAGUGACACACCCAGGUGAGCAAGACAUGAGUCACUCUAGUGACGACUUUUGGUCAGAAUCAAUAAAUAAAAUGAAUAAAAUGGAAUAUAGUCCAAUGCUUUUUUCAUUCAAACCACCUAAAAUAUCUUGCUUCAGAUCCUCUGAUUGCCCCAAAACACUUCAACUAAUUUACAGUGGUUAUCAUAUGCUCUGUCAUACUCUCUAUUUAGUAUAAUAAUAAGUUUUGCUUUUAUUGCAUUAGUGAAUAAACAAAGACAUAACAGUUUUAUGAGAACAGUGUUCACACAUGGAUUUGAGGUGCACUUUACCAAAUUGUAGCCACAGAUGCAGAUGCUGCUAAUAUAGCCAGUCAAUAUUAACAGUAAUUGUAUCAGCAUACAAUUACUUAUUAAGCGUCGAUCAACAGAAAACCUUUAAAAAAAAGGCACUUGAAUAUGUGUUUUGCAUAUUUAUAGUCCAAAAACAACAGGUUCAUAUAUGUGAAUUCAUCACCUUAGUAAUGCUGUUUCAGAGGUGAUAUGCCUGUAUGUACGUUUAUAAUUUGUUAUUAAAUGUCAAACAGUUGUUUUAACAUGUGAUGUCUUAACAUUUCACAUGUAAGAUCUGAAUAUCACAUGUACCUGCAUCAUGUCAAUUUGUCACAUGUGAAAUGCCCGAAAACCACAUACGAGGUGUGCCUAUAUGUGAAAUUUUUCUUAGUUUCAUAUCAUUGUCAAUUGAAUAUCUUUAGGCUUUGGAUUAUUUCUUGGACAAACACAAGUAGGCUAAUAUCAAGGCGUCAGUUUGGGCUAGAUAGAUUAAUCAAUAAGGAAAACUAUUAAAACUAGUUGAAGCCCUAACCAAUAUCAUGAGAUUAUAUAUAUAUAUUUUAUCUAUCCCCAGUUAUCCAGUUAUUUCACUUAUUUCACAGUUAAGAGGCAUGGUAAGCAAAUAACAAAUAACUUUAAACUUGGCCAUCAUAUCCACCCCUCUAAUUUUGUCAGUACUGCCCAGCCCUAGCAUCUGAGGAUAUAGGAUAUGGGAAUGUAGUAUGUAUGUCAGCUCUGCAGUGGCCUUUCUAAGCGCUGUUUCACCCUCUGUGUGACCCCGGGGCUCGUAGAUCAAUGCCCUGGCUGACUAAAUCCCCCCUCACUCGCUCUCUCGGGCUGGCCUUGAUCCUCAUUUCUGCUCCAGCCCCUCACCCCACCUCUCCUCUUUCUGCCUCUUUCAUCCCUGCUCUACAACUGAUCCUUCUCCCUACCUCUCACCCCUAACCAUCCCUCGACCUUUUCCUCUCCAUCGCCUGUAAAGUGAUUCCCCAUUCGUCUCCCAAACCCCUCACCCCCAGUCUCCUCUGAUUCCCUCCAUCCCUCUGAACCCCUGCUCGCUUCCACCUCCCCCCACAUCUCAUUUAUCUCCUUUUCCCAUCAUCCCCCUCUCCCCUCUCCUCCUCUCUGAUCCAUGUCAGUCAAGCCCUGGGGCACUCCAGGCACAACCAGCAGGGGUUACCCCUCUGAAGGAUGUAGAUGGCAGUGGGAGCUAAUUGUCUGUGGGGCUAGAGGCUAAACAAUAUCAUGUCAUCCCUCUCUUGAAGUGACCGGCGUACUUCUUUCCCCCAUCUGCAUGUUUUGGAGAUUUAUCCAUUCUAAUCCCUCUAUAACUUACCCGUUCCUUCGCUAACCCAUUUAUCUCUUCCCCAGCUUUUGCUUUCCCCGUCCUUCCACUUUGUUUCAAAUUGCUCACUGUGAAAUAAAACCACUCAGCUCCAUCUCUCCUGCUCCACCUUCCUGUCUGCCUCGCUCAUUCAGCCUCUACUCAAUACAGAGAGUUGUUUAUAAAUCAACUGUCUGUAACACGAAGCAGGGCUUAGAAAAGUUCCAGCUCACUUUCUCACAGCUGACAAAAAUCCCUGGAGCCAAUGAAGAAAAAGACAGUGUUCUCAGUGUAUGGAACAAAAAGUUAGAACAAUAUGUAAAAAAUAUGUGCUUAGGCAUUGCGACAUCAUAUCAGACUUGACAUAAGCGGGAAAAAUAGACUUACAAAGUAGCCCAGAGCAUAAUCUAAGAUGAAAAAGAUUGAAAUCUGCUGACAAAAAGGCUUUAGAUGUGCAUAAAGAACCUAAAGCGCAUAAACAGCAGAAAAUCAGUGCUUCUUAAAGAACUGGUACAAGAUCAGUUAUGCCAAAUAUAAACUUUACUGCAAAAUAUUUUGAGACCAUUUGAGAAUUAACGAUCAGCCUUCUUGCCAAAAAAAAAAAAAGGAAAAAAGCUUGCAGAUGUUAAAUAGGAUGGUUCACUAUUAAGGUGAACAUGAUUAAAAAGUAGGGGUGAUGUUACUUCAAAAAAUGACGUAGGCGUGUUUGCCAGUUCAAGGUUUUGGUUCUUUAAAACCAUCACUAGGAGGAGGUGAUUAACAAAGUUACAAACAGUGUGCGUAAUACAGAACCUUCAGACCUCUUAAUUACCACGUUUGACCCACAGAAAACCUCAACAUCAUAUAUUUUGGAGUCUCAAAAAUGAAGGUAAUUAUUAUCUAUUUAUCUACACUGUAAUGUUUAUUUGCAUGUUGAAAUGUGUAAUGGUGACCAGCACAGAAAAUGUGACUGACAUGCAGGUAAACAGGCAGCUAACAGCUGCAAAGUGUGCAAACUAUAAAUAUAGGGUAGCUGAUAUAUUUAACCUCUGCAGUUCUGCUUCGCUUCUGCAUAAUUGAAAUGCCUCAUUUAAGUCUUUAAAGUCCAAAAACAUAAAUGUAAAACAUAUGCCAAAGUUCCUUUGUAAAAAAGGAAAUAAAAUGUAAGUUCUUUAACAUUCCUUUUAUCGCUGAACAAACAAAUGAAAAAUAUAAAAAGAUGCAACUGUGCUUUAACAGUUUCAGUCUGGAUGUAAUUUCCAAAAGGUUCCUCAAAUUUUUAAACUUGUUUUAAAAUGUUUUCAGUAACAUGUCUUGUUUUUCACAGGAUAUAAUAUGUGGCUGACUUGGUCUUACUCUGUUUUGGAAGUAACCUAUUGCAGUAUUGUGCACACUGGUAACAAAUUUUAUUUAAUCACCUUUUCUUGGGGGGGAAUGUAUUUAUUGGAGAGAUUGCAGUAGAGAGAUGACAGGAAAUUAUGGGAGACAGAUGAGGAACAACAUGCAACAAAAGGUCCUCGGUUGGACACAAACCGGGGGACGCUGUAGUUCAUGGUCAGCACCUUAGUCCCUUGGCCACCAGGGCGAACUUAACUACUUUUAAUCUGGUUUAAAAUGAACAAAGAAUGGAAGAAAGGAGUGGAAAAGGAUAGUAGCUGAGGAACAUCAGCUGGCACAAUUUUGAAAAAGUGGGAAAGGCAAGUUGAAAUACUCCGACAUGACAAGAAGAUGAAGUUAAACUGGAUAUCAACUUUUUUAAAUAAUUUAUUGCAUUUUAAUGUAUCCACAGGGUCAUACACUCUUCUACAGUAUGCAUCCUGUUUAGUUUGAAGCAGGAAUCCUGGUAGUCAAAUCUUAUUAUCCGGAUACUAUGGUUACUGUAAUAAGUAUGUUUUCUUAAAACAAUGACACCUGCAUAUGACAGUGUAAUCUUUCCCACAGAAAUAUAUUAGAAAAUAACAGGGAGCAUACAGUAGGAACACGCAUAUGCCUAUAUUGAAUUUAGACCUCAGGUGAGGAUGGCAGAGAUGGAUGAGCUGAAUAAGCACAGCUGACUGCCUGUGUAAUCAAAUAGUGAUGCCACAGCAAUAUUAGCUGAAGCAGGGCGAGUACAGCCCGACUCUGAGGAUAGCAUCAGUUUGUUACAGGGACAUUAGGGUGGCUUUAAACCACAGAUCAGUAACAGUGAUGCUGAGCAGCCAAAAGAUCUGCCCACUUGUUUUGUUGUUGCUUCACAGCCUUUAAGCAUUUGAAGCCACUAAUUACAAGAAGACGUAGAGUUUGGUUUUAAUUGAUAAAGUAGAAGAAGCACUGGGGAACUUCUGUGUGAAUGAGUAACUUUGUGCAAACAUACAUGAGAAGUUGGGCAAGGGUAGGGAAAAUAAAAAGUUAUGUAAUAUUUAUGAGCAUCACAGUCAGCAUAACAAGCUUUUUAGCUAAUGAGGCGACUUCACUCACUCGUAACUCAAAUUUGAUGAAGGCGCCUGCCGCUCUCUCCACAUGGAGAUUUCUGGGUAACAAUCCUUGAGAGCCAUGUUCAAGGGUUUCCAUGCUGCAGUUGACUUAGGGGUUUUUGAAACAGCACUUUAUAUCAGAGGCUUUUACAGAUAUUAAUAUCAGAGUGAUUCAGGCCGCAGUGAGAAACCCUCCAGGACUUGUCAGACAAAUGCUGGAUUUAGUGAAGCGGAGAGGAGGAAGAGGUGCGAAAGUGCUAUAAGCCGCUGAACUAAAUGAAGAGAUUAGAACCAUCUGACACGAAGGGGACCAGUGGUUUUGGAGAGAUGCUUUUCUCACAUUACUGAAACACUGAGUGCACAUUUAGCGUUCAGUUUAGAGGUGUAGCUGGAACACUAAUUCCACUCAUACCUAUCCAAAAAUGGAAAAAAUAUAUAUAAAGUACCUGUCUCGCUCUUUAUUAAAAACUAUGCAAAGUUGAUUAACAUUUCAGUUGCUGAUUUUAGAGACUUUUGUCCAUGAAGUUUGUUGUGCAAGUUUAUAUCUUGAACUUCGAUUGUAUCAGCAGGGGGCAACAGUGGUUUUAAACUGUUUAUAAGCUACAUGUUGCUUAAACAUCAAAUCCUCAUUGGUGUAUCGUGAUUCUGCUACUAGCUUGGUUGUAUACUGUAGAGUAAUUCUGUUAUUGUGUAUUCAUAGUAUUUUGUAGCGUUAGUUCUUGUACUGUA